rnacentral:lncRNA from 1 species
AUCAUGUUAUAUAUUGAUGUGAUUUAAAAUUUUGCAUGAAUAUUUUUUUUCUAUUUUUUUGUUCACCUGCUCACCUGACUUAAACUUUGACUUCUGUUUAAUUUAUGAAAACAUUCCCUGUGUUACAGUCAGCUUAUCGUAUGAUAUAAUUUAUUAUUGAAUAGAGAACAUGAUAUGUCAGAAUCAAGAAAGAUGACAUAAUAUGUCAGAAUCAAGAGACAAAAUGAUAUGUCAGAAUCAGGAAAGAUGACAUUACAUGUCAUUAUCAUAAGAGAUGACCUAACAAUGUCAUAGUCUUGAUAGGCAACAUAUGUCUGAUGAGAUCAUAGUCAGUAUUUUAAGCAUUGUUUAUAAUGUUUAAAGUUUGACAAUUGAUAAUAAAGAAUAUACAAA